rnacentral:rRNA from 1 species
GAUGAACGCUGGCGGCGUGCUUAACACAUGCAAGUCGAACGGAAGGGCCAUGUUUUUGUGGGGUGCUCGAGUGGCGAGUGGGUGAGUAGCAUGUAAGUAACCUGCUCCUGACUUAGGGAUAACUUAAGGUAGGUGGGGCUCAUCCCGGAUAGGAGCUUUUGCUGCAUGGUGGGGGUUGGAAUGUUUCGGCGGUUGGGGAUGAACUCGCGGCUUAUGUGCUUGUUGGUGGGGUAGUGGAUUAGCACGGGUGUGACGGGUGGCCGGCCGGAGAGGGUGACCGGGCACAUGAGGAGAAUGAUACGGCCCGGAGCCCUACGGGAGGCAGCAGAGGGGAAGAUAGAACAAUCCGGGGAAGCCGGAUGCAGCAACACCGCGUGCUGGAUGACGACCUUCUGGUUGUAAACCGCUUUCGCCUGUGACGAUGCGAGAUUGACGGUAAUGUAUAAAGAAGCACCGGCUAACUACGUG